CUGGCUAACAUUAAUUUACCUUGAUUUGAAAUUUGGGCAGUCUGUUCCCUUGGUCUUGUGGAAGACUCCUCCGUGUGCUGAUUCCACCGUGCCAUCAUUAGAAACAGCACGACUUGUGCAGCAAGUAGCUCAGCAAGAGUCAGAUCAAGGUCCUGGUUCUGGAAAACAUCUUGGGAAAGCACUUCGGUAUGUGCUGACGCUUGGACCUGGGUGCGAACCCCGUGCAGGCCAGUGAAACUCAAGCACGUGCUUACAGAUAAGCAUGAAUGCACUCAAGUGCUGUCCUGAUUAGGGCAUAUGCUUAAGUGGCUCCUUGAGCUGGAGCCUCUGGCUUUGAACAGGCACUCCUAUUCUUCGCGUGUUAUGCAGAAGGAGCUAACCAAAUACUAGCUUGUUUUCAAUAGCACUGACCAGAACCACCCCAAGCGCCAGGGCAGCAGACAUAAGCAGGAAAAUUGACUCUGAUCAUCCCUGGGGUCAUUUAACUAAAACACACAUUUCAGUCGAGCCAAGUGUUCGCCAGCGCUUUUCAACUCCCCUGGUGUCAAAACAAUUAGCAGAUCACAGCAGCAGCGAUUUGCUGGUGCUCCAAUGAAAGCAUCUGGCCAGCACGUGGCUAUCUGACACGAGCACAGCGCCAGCUCCUCCACGCGCCGUCCACUGCCCGCAGGACAGUGCAGUGCGGGUGACU